rnacentral:rRNA from 1 species
UACGAAGGGGGCUAGCGUUGCUCGGAAUCACUGGGCGUAAAGCGCACGUAGGCGGCUUCUUAAGUCAGGGGUGAAAUCCUGGAGCUCAACUCCAGAACUGCCUUUGAUACUGAGGAGCUUGAGUCCGGGAGAGGUGAGUGGAACUGCGAGUGUAGAGGUGAAAUUCGUAGAUAUUCGCAAGAACACCAGUGGCGAAGGCGACUCGCUGGACAAGUAUUGACGCUGAGGUGCGAAAGCGUGGGGAGCAAACAGG